UACAGUGAAAUGCAUGCCAUGACAGAGAGAAAGAGAAGAGGCCUUCAUCUCAUGCAUCUGGAUUCAUCAAAGGAGAUGAACAAUUCUUCCAGAAGUCAAUGGGUUUUGAGGUACAUCCAUUGGCAAAAAAGUUGUCACAGGCAUAUCCAAAGUUGUCACAGCUUGAUGGGUUUGACAUUUGAACAUGGCAAAGAUCGCCCUCCGAAACCUACAA